rnacentral:rRNA from 1 species
UACGUAGGGGGCAAGCGUUAUCCGGAAUUACUGGGUGUAAAGGGUGAGUAGGCGGCAUGGUAAGCCAGAUGUGAAAGCCUUGGGCUUAACCCGAGGAUUGCAUUUGGAACUAUCAAGCUAGAGUACAGGAGAGGAAAGCGGAAUUCCUAGUGUAGCGGUGAAAUGCGUAGAUAUUAGGAAGAACACCAGUGGCGAAGGCGGCCUUCUGGACUGAAACUGACGCUGAGGCACGAAAGCGUGGGGAGCAAACAGG